ACCUUUUAAAGACACCAUUUCAUUGGGGUUCAAGACCGCUCAACCAGGAAGUGUUCUUCUGCAGACCGCCCAAGGGGCCCAGGGCAUCAAGCUGUCACUCACUGAUGGUCGUGUGGAGUUUAAAUAUGGCAGCCAGGCAGUGAUGUCAGAGAGGAAGUACCAUGACGGGAGAUGGCACUACCUGACGGCCCUCAGAAAUGACUCAGGACUGAGGCUCACGAUUGAUGACAGUGACACAGGAAGUGACCGCCCGAAUUCAUCCCCGGUCGUAACCGAUGGCAACAACCUCACUUUGGGGAGAGAGGUUUUCAUAGGUUGCCUUGCAGACCUCUACAUGAGAAGGCCGGGACAAGCUUACCUGCCAUCUGACCUGUCCCAGUUCCACCCCAAAGGA